CCCGCUGAGUUUAAGCAUAUCAAUAGGCGAAGGAAAAGAAACUAAUAAGGAUUCCCUUAGUAACAGCGAGCGAACAGGGAAAAGCCCACCAUCAGAACGGUCGCCCUUGGUGCCCGAAUGGUAGUCUGGAGAAGCAUCCUCAGUGGCAGAUAGGGCCCAAGUCCCCUGGAAGGGGGCACCAGAGUGGGUGAGAGCCUCGUCGUGGCUGGAAUCUAUUUUAAGACUAAGAUUGCAACUAAGAGGGGGUGAAUUAGUUGACUUAAAAUUAUGGCCACUUUUUCUACAAAAUCAAGAGUUAAGUGCAGCGGAGAAAUUAUGCAUAAAAUUAAAAAUUAAAAAAAUCAAAAGAUAAAGGAGAAGAGAGUACACCGAAAUUUUAUAUUGUUUCACCUUCUUGUCCACCGAGGGCUACGUCUAGUACUCUUGCAGCACAAGAGACUUCUUCACUAAAUAUUAUGAGUUUUAAUUACGAGACCUCUAUGUACCUUACACACUCACUAAUACUUAUGUCACUCUUGAAAAACACCUUUUCAAGUGACUCUAUCUCUUUUCUUAUAACACCCUUUUCAAAGAAAGA
rfam:Lupinus angustifolius cultivar Tanjil chromosome LG02, whole genome shotgun sequence.